rnacentral:misc_RNA from 1 species
AUUGAUCGACUCUUGCUUCGUUGCUCUCCUUGUGUGAACUCGCCUCUACUAUCUCAGGCUGUCUAUACAGCACACGACAGGAUCGUUUUCACUAGUAUUGUUGCAUCCUACCCCUCCUCAUCCACUGGCGCACUUUGGCGUGCUGCACACUGCUGCUACUCCCUGGCGCGCAGAGGAAUGGCAUCGAGACGUUUGCUGUAGGAUACCCCAACGUGUACGAGCACUCGCUGUUCUUCACAGUCUCGCUAUUGAGCGGCGCCAGUUGAAAGCGGCAGAAAAAGACACAUAAAGAAAGUGAAGGGCGGGUGAAGUGUUCUCUUGUGCCAAGGACCGGUCACCGUAGCCGUCGCUCCCCUUUACAAGCAGACCGCUCACCACACCAAUAGAGAUCGACACCUGCGAGACGACACUUCUUAUUUUUUUUUCUUCGUUGCGCCGCUGCCAUCAAAUACAUCGUGCGGUUGCCGUGCAUCGCGGAGGCUACUUAUCAUCGGCACGAAGCUGCUGUUGCCCCGAGGAUAGGAUCUCAGACCGCCUUGUUAUUGCCACUCGUGCGAGCUUUCAGAAGUUCCCUUGCUCUGCUCUUAGUUUAUGCGUGGCUGCUCCACUGACGUGAGGUAAUGGUGUGCUGCUGCGAGCGUAGCUGGAGCGACAUAGUGGUGGUCACAGCGUUGGUGUGCACCACCAUGUACUCCGCUCACAGCUUUUACACGUAUCUCUUCCCCAACACACUCGAGGCCCUCGCGACAGCUUUUCUGCACCCGUUCAUCAACAUGAGUGCCGAUGAGUUGCUAAGCAAGGGCAACGCUACCCAUUCGACGUCAGGGAAGAACAGCCGCUGGUCGCGCUUGUCGCCGAUGAGCAUGACAACAUUGUGCGGCGUGAGAUUGUGGGGCUGGCUGCUCUUUAUCACGUCUGUGUUUUUGCUGCUGAUGGAUAUGUGGGCGUACACCAUGGCCGUCAUCAUUCCGCCUGGCCGAGUGCCGGCUGUGUUUCGACAACGUGCGACAAAGAGCGCUUCCCUGGCUCUGAGCACCUUCUACGAGCCACUGACCCGCUCUGAUACGCCGGUGGCACUCUACCCAUCUGGCAGGACAGGCUUCAGAGCACAAAAGCACGGACGAUUGCGGACGUUUGCGGCCGACGCGGCCAUGGGGGAGGGCGUUGGCCGGUCGGCUCAGCCGCCAGCGGACGCCGUCUUACCACCGAAUCAGCCUCCACAUGAGCUGUUCUUCUUCAAUCCCAAGGCGAAUAGCUACACGAGCGUGCAGAACAACUACCUGAAUUUCUGCCCCAUGUGCGCCACCUACAAGCCUCCUCGUGCCCAUCACUGCAGUCGGUGCAAUUGCUGUGUUCUCAAGUACGAUCAUCACUGCCCGUGGCUGGGCCAGUGCGUCGGCUUCUACAAUUACAAGAAUUACCUUCUCGUUCUUCUUUACACGUGGCUUCUCACGGCGUGGGUGCUGACGUUGCUGUCGAUUGCGCUCACCGUCUACGUGCUCGAAGUGAAAGAAGAUCUUUUUGGCCUUGCACCAACGCCGAAAACUACUGCAGCGGUAUCAGCAGAAACACCACCACCGCGCAAGGGCCUCGGUGUCGGCGCCAACAUCGCCGAAGAGCUGGACGUCGGCCCCCCAUUUUUCGGCGUUAUGGUGUGCAUAGCCCAGAGCCUAUUGUUCUUUGCCAUGACCACGUACUUGCUGAAGCGACACUUUACGUACGCGCGACACAACAUUACCACCAUUGACAUGGUCAUCUACGAGAAUGAGCGACGUCUCUUCUCUCACGGAACUUCAGAGGACUCAGAUGUCGAAACAGACACGACGACGCCAAGAGGCGAUGCGAACCCGGCGACCUACCGCGCGCGAACACUCCGGUCGUACAUGCGCCGCAACAUUUACGACCUCGGCGUGCAGCGCAAUCUCCUACAGAUCUUCGGUGACGCGCAGCUGAACAACCCUGGCGAGGACGUCGAUGGCAACCCGCUGCCACGGCGGUGCUACACUGACUGGAUGGAGAGCGACAUUCCACGCCACCGCCACUUUGUGGUACGCUGGUUCUUCCGUCUCCUUCCGACGGCCGCUUACCCGCCGCAGCGGACGUGGGCGCAGAUUGACAUGUCCAGUCGCUCAGCUAGCAGUUCCAUCCACAUGUCAGCGCGAAGCCACGCUAGCUACGGAACAAUGGAGGGACGGGAGGAAGGCGCUUGCGCAGCCGCGCCGGGCAGGGCGACAGGCGCUUCGCUACUCACCGAGCUAGGCGUGGAGGAGGAACAACUGCUCGGUCUGCGCUUCCCCACACGAUCAGCCAUGGGUAUAGACGUAGGCGAGCAGCCGUGAGUCGGUGGGCUGCGGCUGCUCGUGCGACCAGAGGGGCUUUUCGUGCUCUCGCCUCAGUCGAAUAAUUCGCCCACGAUUCGGGUUGAUGUGCGGUUUCUACAAGAUGUCUACGCGUAUGGGCGAGCAUUUGCGUCCGGUGUACGCACAUCGCAGGGAGCGGUGCUCAGGGUUGUUGAAGUGUCCUCGAGCUCCCCCGGCAUCCCAGCCCAUCCGGUACUGCAUGAUGCGCGUCUCACUCGUUUCAGUGCUGAGGCCUCGGCGCAUUGAGGGAGAUCGGAUAGAUGGUUUUUGUGCGUGUGGUGGGAACAGCUACGAUUGUAGCAGUUGGCAGUGGUACCUCUGCGUGCCUUUCUUUCGUUCCCCUCCUCUGCGCGUGUAUCUCGCGCUUGCCGUUUUGUUGCUCUUUUCCCCUCGCUGCACUCAGGAACUUCACCGUUUAGCUUUCCUAUCCACUCCGUUGCUCCGCCUCUGCGAUUCUGUCGCCCGCCCCGUCUGCACUUCUCCCCUUGACACCCGUCUAUCUGUCUUUCUAUCCGAUAACGGCUCCCUUAUUCAGCCUCCCCACUCCUCUCUCUGUUCCAAAAUGGCCUUUACGCCGUCCCUCAGCGAAGAAAAGAAUGCACGGGAAAAAGAAAGGGCGUGCGACGGAUGGCUCUCUCGCUGGCAUUCAUCCUUUUCUUCCUGUUUUUCGUGUGUGUAUGUGUGUGCGUGCGUGUGCGGCAUGGAAGGAUUGCCUUGUUUCCCUGGACUGUGGCGGUGUAGUGGGCUUUCUCUCUCUCGGUCUGUGCGUGUAUGUGUAUUCAUUGAUGUGCGUUUCUGUGCCGAUAGGUGAAGGAUAGGCUAUCACUAUGUUGUGCCGACCAAGACGGUCAAUGCGGCCAACGCGCGCACAUGCACACAAAC